rnacentral:RNase_P_RNA from 1 species
GAGGAACGUCCGGACUGCACAGGACAGCGCAGGAGUUAACGACUCUCCACCGUGAGGUGAGGAUCAGAGCAACAGAGACGAGCCGAUUCAGUUCGGGUGAAACGGGCAAUCUCUGCGCGCAGCAACACCAAGUAGGCCAGUAUCGAGGUGGUUCCGCUGAGCUGGCGGGUAGGUGGCAUCGAGCCGUUUGGCGACAAGCGGCCCAGAGUAAUGGCGGUCACGUUGGGGGCAACUCCAACGCACAGAAUCCGGCUUA